CGUGUCUUAAAACUCAGCACUCUGAGA
rnacentral:sRNA from 1 species